UCUGCCUUGCCUCGGGAGAGAAAGGGAGCAAACAUAGGUGCCUUGGCGGAGAGGUCGGCGGCGACCCCGCAGCUGGUGAGACCGGCAGCGGAACGGAGUGCUAGUGCGUAGGCCGACCCAACUGCCUUGGAAGAGAGAGAGGUAUCUCCGCAGCCUGCUCCGGCGGCGUCAGGUAGCGUUGUGGAUUGGGACUUUGUUCGAUCUGCAGCGGAGAGGCCGGCGAUUCGCGAUAGUCGAAGACAUGGCCGUCGCUUUCGAGAUGGGAGGUUAAGUUUCAGAACUGGAUGGAACUAUUUCGCUGUUUCCAAUGAACUCGAAUCAGGUCUGGAUGUGAUGAUGAUGUUCUAUAUGAAUUUUUCUCGCCAUGUCAAGGUUACCUCAUUGGGACUGCAGAAUUUCACCAAUUCCAACGCCAGCUUGGGAUGGAGUUGGAGGGCAUGCGGCGUUUGCUUGCUGAAGAGGAUGGCCCGGUCUUUUUUAUUGGGCGUAUUGUCUUAGUGUGUAUUGGUCCUUUUUAGCUACAGGCUGUGUGGUUUCCCAUUUUCGUUUAGAAUGGUAACUCAACAUUGGACUGAUAACGAGAGACACAAAGAGCCGUUAGAACUCAAUGUUUUUGGGCUGGCAGAAAUGUGUCUGUUUUCUAAUUUGAGAACAGACGGUUUUUUCAUUCAUUUUUCUGUAGUUUUGAGUCAUGCAGCUGUCAUCUUACUAUUGGCUACGAAAAUGUGUCUGUUCACGAAUUUGAAAACAGAUAGCUGUUCAAUAGUCAGUCCCUAAUUAAGAUGCCCGAUGGUAAGUGGCAGUCUACUUUGAACCGGUACUAUUACAAACUUGUAAGGAUAAUUCCACCUACCCGAAAGUCGCUACUCGAGUUCUUAAUGAGUUAUGGGAUAUUUUUUUCUCACUCUAGCCACUGGCAGAGAGGAGGAAUGCUACCUCGUGGUGUCUAAGCAUGUAAUGAAGUUUGUGAUUUACAUGUACUAUGAGGCACGCAUGAGAUGCACGAUUAACUGGUAUGCACUCGUGAAGAGGAUUUUGCUCCUGAAGCACAAUGCCCGGUUAAGGCAUAUGACACUUUGAGGAGUACAACAUGGAACCUCCUCAGUGGUGUGCCUCCAAGAAGGCGUGCUUUCACCAGAUCAUGGACUAUUGGGUUACAAAGGCGUGCCCUCAUGAAAGGUGGAGUACACCGUCAGGGCAGCCUCUCCCUCGGUGCCUAUGUGCAAAAAAGGGUGAGCAAAUGCAUUACAUUUUUCUUGUCACACUGCAGAGACAGGAUACAUGCAAAGAUCACUAUGAAAUUAAGGUUU